rnacentral:rRNA from 1 species
UAGGGAAUCUUCCGCAAUGGACGCAAGUCUGACGGAGCAACGCCGCGUGAGUGAAGAAGGAUUUCGGUUCGUAAAACUCUGUUGUUAGAGAAGAACAGCGCAUAGAGUAACUGUUAUGCGUGUGACGGUAUCUAACCAGAAAGCCACGGCUAACUACGUGCCAGCAGCCGCGGUAAUACGUAGGUGGCAAGCGUUGUCCGGAUUUAUUGGGCGUAAAGCGAGCGCAGGCGGUCAAUUAAGUCUGGUGUGAAAGCCCCCGGCUCAACCGGGGAGGGUCAUUGGAAACUGGUUGACUUGAGUGCAGAAGAGGAGAGUGGAAUUCCAUGUGUAGCGGUGAAAUGCGUAGAUAUAUGGAGGAACACCAGUGGCGAAGGCGACUCUCUGGUCUGUAACUGACGCUGAGGUUCGAAAGCGUGGGUAGCAAACAGG